UACACUCAUGGUGAGUUUAAGGGGACAACACUUUGGGAAGCCAAGAGAAGAGGACUGCUUGAGCUCAGGAGUUCGAGACCAACCUGGGAAACAGAGUGAGACCUCGUCUCUACAAAAAGUAAAAAAGCCAGGUGUGGUGGAGUGUGCCUGUGGUCCCAGCUACACAGGCGGCUGAGGCAGGAGGAUCACUUCAGCCCAGCAGUUGGAGGCUGCAGUAUGCCAUGUUAACACCAUUGCACACCAGCUUGGGUGACAGAGCGAGACUAUUUCAAAAAAAAAAAAAAAGGAAGGGCUAUCUCUAGGACAUAUUGUUAUUAAAGAAACUGAGACAUAGGGAGGUGCAUAUGGUAUGCUAUCUUUUAUGUAAGGUGGAGGGAAACAGGAGUGAAGAGAAAUAUAUACUAGUGACAGAACAAAAAACAAAAAACCCACUUGAAGGAUAAACAAGAAGCAAACAAAAAAAAAACAAGACAUGUUUACAUAAGACAAAGAAGAAUGUGACU
rnacentral:lncRNA from 1 species